GUGUGUGUGUGUGUGUGCGCGCUUUUGGCUCACCUUGGUACAACAAAUCCUUUUCAGAUUGAAUCACCAAAACUCAACAACUAUAAAAGU